ACCUAAGUUUGAUUAUAACAACAGCUUAGCGACUUGGAGCUAACAGUUGAUGUGGGAUCUAGUAAAGACCUUGUUGUGGAUACUGGAGUUACACAAACAAAUUAUUGGUUGACGUUUGUCAGAAAUGCUGCCAAUCAAGCAAAAUUGUCAAAUUGUGUGGUUUGUGCAGAGGCACGACCAGCAUUAACAGUCCCAUCACCCUUGAGUAAUGUGUCAACUUUUUUCUGUAUGUUCCAAUUACAUAUUAAUGAGAACCCAUCAGUUAAGUGUAAAUAUUUAGAACAUUUCUUUCCUAUGUCUUCAAGAACAGAUGCCCCUCCUGUCUUCAAGGCGGUGGAGGGCAAUUACACUUGUUUGUCCAGGAGGGGGAGGCAGAGAAGCGUGGAUGUUGGACGGCUGAAUAUGACAUGGUGCAAACAGGUGAUUGAUGUAUCCUUGUGGGAUAAUGCAACAACGUUAAAUGUGUAUAGGGCAGAUAUAUUUUGGUACUGUGGCAAUAAUCGUUUGUUAAAAGUGUUACCAGCAGGUUGGAGUGAGCUGUGUGUGGAAGUGUCCCUCGUCACGCCAGUCAGACUGUACCUGGCUGCAAUGCAUUUCAAUGAAAAUGCACGUCUGCAGAUUAUUCUUUCACAAGUUCAAGAAGGGAGAAGCCUAUCAGACCUCCUGAAACCCUAAACUGUGCUGUGGAUUCAUCUCCAGUUGUCACAGACAAGGCCAGCAUCUCCACACCACCUCCUGAGGCUCGCGUCUUCACUACACGUCCUGAUGCACACUUCUUCACUCCACGCCCUGAUGCACGCAUCUUCACUACACGUCCUGAUGCCACAUCUUCACUACACGUCCUGAUGCCACAUCUUCACACCACCCUCUGCACCACAUCUGAACUCAGUCCACACCCAGUGGGAGGACUUUUCACAACAGGAUCACACAUACUUCCACACAUCUCGCAGAAAGGACGUGCAGGACAAGAUGACAGUGUGACGAGGUUGCAUAUUUGUGACCCAUGAUAUCAAAAUGAGGAUUAAGUCG